UUGAGUGAAAAGAAACUCAUUGCAACCAAUUGGCAUUAAAAUAAAUCAAUUUCAUUUUUUUUGCAAAAUUUCCCAAAAAAAACGUAAGGGGUAAGCCUUAUGAAAUUUUCGAGUUGAAAAUUUUUAAAAAUUUUUUUUUCUGAUUUUUUAUAUUUUUUUAAUUUAAAGCAUUAUUUGAGUGAAAAGAAACACAUUGCAACAAAUUCCCAUUAAAAUAUAUCACAUUUAAAAAUUUUGCUACAUUGCUCAAAAAUGAGGAAAAUUUUACAUUUUCUCAAACAGGGUAAGGAACUUGGUUCCUCGAAUAACUUCUGGCACAGACAUCUGAGGGCAUGGCCGUCCAAGAAGAAUAUGUAGCCAUUGAUGCCAUCUAUCGACCACAGGUUAAAGAUUGGCGAUCCGUUGGAUACCGACCGAGUUAUAGGCAAAACUUGGUGCAAAAAUGAGCCUUAGGAAAUUUUCAUUUUUUUGAUUUUUUUGAAUUUUUUAAUAUUUUUCAUUCUUUUUUUUAUUUAAAGCAUUAUAUGAGUGAAAAGAAACUCAUUGCAACCAAUUGGCAUUAAAAUAAAUCAAUUUCAUUUUUUUUGCAAAAUUUCCCAAAAAAAACGUAAGGGGUAAGCCUUAUGAAAUUUUCGAGUUGAAAAUUUUUUAAAAUUUUUUUUUCUGAUAUUUUAUUAUUUUUUUAAUUUAAAGCAUUAUUUGAGUGAAAAGAAACACAUUGCAACAAAUUCCCAUUAAAAUAUAUCACAUUUAAAAAUUUUGCUACAUUGCUCAAGAAUGAGGAAAAUUUUACAUUUUCUCAAACAGGGUAAGGAACUUGGUUCCUCGAAUAACUUCUGGCACAGACAUCUGAGGGCAUGGCCGUCCAAGAAGAAUAUGUAGCCAUUGAUGCCAUCUAUCGACCACAGGUUAAAGAUUGGCGAUCCGUUGGAUACCGAUCGAGUUAUAGGCAAAACUUGGUGCAAAAAUGAGGAAAAUUUUACAUUUUCUCAAACAGGGUAAGGAACUUGGUUCCUCGAAUAAAUUCCGGCACGGACACCUGAGAACAUGGCCGUCCAAGAAGAAAAUGUAGCCAUUGAUGCCAUCUAUCGAUCACAGGUUAAAGAUUGGCGAUCCGUUGGAUACCGACCGAGUUAUAGCCAAAACUUGGUGCAAAAAUGAGCCUUAGGAAAUUUUCAUUUUUUUGAUUUUUUUGAAUUUUUUAAUAUUUUUCACUCUUUUUUUUAUUUAAAGCAUUACUUGAGUGAAAAGAAACUCAUUGCAGCCAAUUGGCAUUAAAAUAAAUCAAUUUCAUUUUUUUUGCAAAAUUUCUCGAAAAAAACGUAAGGAGUAAGCCUUAUGAAAUUUUCGAGUUGAAAAUUUUUUUAAAUUUUUUUUCUGAUUUUUUAUUAUUAUGUUAAUUUAAAGCAUUAUUUGAGUGAAAAGAAACACAUUGCAACAAAUUCCCAUUAAAAUAUAUCACAUUUAAAAAUUUUGCUACAUUGCUCAAAAAUGAGGAAAAUUUUACAUUUUCUCAAACAGGGUAAGGAACUUGGUUCCUCGAAUAACUUCUGGCACAAACAUCUGAGGGCAUGGCCGUCCAAGAAGAAUAUGUAGCCAUUGAUGCCAUCUAUCGACCACAGGUUAAAGAUUGGCGAUCCGUUGGAUACCGAUCGAGUUAUAGGCAAAACUUGGUGCAAAAAUGAGGAAAAUUUUACAUUUUCUCAAACAGGGUAAGGAACUUGGUUCCUCGAAUAACUUCUGGCACAGGCAUCUGAGGGCUUGGCCGUCCAAGAAGAAAAUGUAGCCAUUGAUGCCAUCUAUCGACCAUAGGUUAAAGAUUGGCGAUCCGUUGGAUACCGAUCGAGUUAUAGGCAAAACUUGGUGCAAAAAUGAGGAAAAUUUUACAUUUUCUCAAACAGGGUAAGGAACUUGGUUCCUCGAAUAACUUCCGGCACGAACACCUGAGAACAUGGCCGUCCAAGAAGAAAAUGUAGCCAUUGAUGCCAUCUAUCGA